rnacentral:rRNA from 1 species
CUCGAAAUUAAAAGAGUUAAAUGUAAAUUAUUUUUUAUGUUGAAUAAUAAUUAUAAAUUUAUGUUUAGGGGUGAUAUGUUAUUCGAUUUUAAUAAUAUCUAGUUUUUUUUGAGAUGAAUUUAAUUCAUAUAUUUAAUUUAUUAAUAAAAUUAAUUUUUGUUUAUUGUUGAAUAUAAAAAAUUUGUGGGAUAAACUAUGAAUUUAAAUUACUAUUGUAUAAAUUGAAUUAAGGAUUUGUAGAUUUAAAAUUUGUUUUCAUUUGAGAUAAUUUAAUAAUUUAUUAUUUAUUACUUAAAAAUUUAUAAUUUUAAUGUAGAAGAGUAAAAUAAAUUAUAUAUGAAUUAAUUUUAUAUAGGUAUAAUGAUGAAAUUAGUAAUUUUAUUGGUAAAUAUGAAUUUUAUUUAUAUAUAAUUUAAAGGAAUUCGGCAAAUUAAAAGUGUUCACCUGUUUACCAAAAACAUGUCUUUUUGUUUAUAAUUUAAAGUCUGCUCUGCCCAAUGAAUUAUUUUAAAUGGCUGCAGUAUUUUGACUGUACAAAGGUAGCAUAAUAAUUAGUCUUUUUAUUGAAGGCUUGAAUGAACGAGUUGAUGAAAUAUUUACUGUCUCUAGAUUAUCUUAUUAAUUUAAAUUCUGAGUAAAAAUGCUUAGAUUUUUAUAUGGGACGAGAAGACCCUAUAGAAUUUUAUAUUUUUAUUAAGUUUAUUACUAAAAAAUAUUUUGUUGGGAGGAUAUUUAAAUUUAAUUAACUUUAAAAAUUUUAUCCAAUUAUUUUUGAUUAGGAGAAGAUAGUUUAUUAUAAAUUGUUAGAUUAAAUUACCUUAGGGAUAACAGCGUAAUAUCUUUGGAGAGAUCAUAUUUAUAAAGAUGAUUGCGACCUCGAUGUUGAAUUAAGGUAUAAUUUAAAUGCAGGAGUUUAAAUUUUAAGUCUGUUCGACUUUUAAUAUCUUACAUGAUUUGAGUUCAGAUCGGCGUGAGCCAGAUCGGUUUCUAUCUAUAUUAUUUGUAUAAACUUUUGUACGAAAGGACUUAGUUUA